GGGCUCACUUUGGCAGCACAUAUACUAAAAUUGGAAUGAUACAGAGAAGAUUAGCAUGUCCUCUGCACAAGGAUGACACGCAAAUUCUUUUUUAUUUUUUU
rnacentral:snRNA from 1 species